UCCAUGUCAAUGCAAACCCUCCCUCUGAUUAUUUCCCUACUUAAACAGUGUCUGUCUGUCAUUAGAUGCCCUCUGUGUACUGGAGAGAAGAGAAAAGCAGCUCCCACUAGUUCAGCUUCAAAACAAGCCAUGUUCCCUGCAUCUCUGCUGCUGCUGGCAUCUGUCUCCUGUGUCUGAUGUGAUAUUGAACUCAUCCAUUCUGGUCCAGUGGUUAUAAAACGAGGAGAGUCUUUCAGCAUCUUCUGCAAAUUCUCAGGGUUUUCUAUAUAUUCUUACUGUCCUCGCUGGAUACGACAAGCUGAAGGCAAAGCUUUGGAGUAUGUUGGUUGUACAUGUAUUAGUAGUACUUCUACUGUAGACUCACUGAAGAUCACUUCUAGUUAUGACAGCUCUAGCAGUACAGUGUUUGAUUGUAUAAUAAGACUCCUUAAAUUAAAUAGAACAGAGAUGCUUCACCACAUCAAAUUUGUAACCGAAUACAAGCCCAUCACUGGUGGUGCUGGAAAUGUAUAUCUGAGUUGUUUACCAAUUAUACUCCUGAUAUGACUUGAUGGUA